CCUACGGGGCGCAGCAGUGGGGAAUAUUGGACAAUGGGCGAAAGCCUGAUCCAGCCAUGCCGCGUGUGUGAAGAAGGCCUUCGGGUUGUAAAGCACUUUCAGUGGGGAAGAAAGCCUUGGGGCUAAUACCCUCGAGGAAGGACAUCACCCACAGAAGAAGCACCGGCUAACUCCGUGCCAGCAGCCGCGGUAAUACGGAGGGUGCGAGCGUUAAUCGGAAUUACUGGGCGUAAAGCGCGCGUAGGCGGUCUGAUAAGCCGGUUGUGAAAGCCCCGGGCUCAACCUGGGAACGGCAUCCGGAACGGUCAGGCUAGAGUGCAGGAGAGGAAGGUAGAAUUCCCGGUGUAGCGGUGAAAUGCGUAGAGAUCGGGAGGAAUACCAGUGGCGAAGGCGGCCUUCUGGACUGACACUGACGCUGAGGUGCGAAAGCGUGGGUAGCAAACAGGAUUAGAUACCCGGGUAGUC
rnacentral:rRNA from 1 species